GCCGAAGUGGCGCAACGGGUAGCGCGGGCGACUUGUAAUCGCCAGGUUGCGGGUUCGAGUCCCGCCUUCGGCUCCA
rnacentral:tRNA from 1 species